UACGGGGGGAGCAAGCGUUGUUCGGAUUUACUGGGCGUAAAGGGCGCGUAGGCGGCCACCGCAAGUCGACUGUGAAAUCUCCGGGCUUAACCCGGAAAGGUCAGCCGAUACUGCGGGGCUAGAGUGCAGAAGGGGCAACUGGAAUUCUCGGUGUAGCGGUGAAAUGCGUAGAUAUCAGGAGGAACACCGGUGGCGAAGGCGGUUCUCUGGGCCUUACCUGACGCUGAGGAGCGAAAGCGUGGGGAGCAAACAGG
rnacentral:rRNA from 1 species